CAAACAAGAAAAAGACAAAGUCCAAAUGAAGUUUCAUCCACUCUCUCUCAACGCAGUGUGGUCCUAGUCAAAAUUUCCAUUCCACUAAUUCAACCAUCUCUUCACAUUCUUAUUACUAAAAUUUCCGUUUGUUAAACUACUUUUCGAUCUUUCUUCAUUAGACAAUUGCAGAUACACAUAGAAUGGGUCAUGGAAAUUCCAGACCGGAUUCCUCCUCCGGCGAUUCCACCAACGGCGACUCCAAACCGUCGCGGCUGAGAAGAUUCCGUCGACGACUUCGUCUGCACCGCCGCAGUCGUUCCAACUCCGGUUCACAUAAUCACAUCGCUAAGAUCCUUAAGGAAGAAGAUUUUGCUGGCAUCGCGCUCUUCCGGAUCAUCAGUGCUGAGAUGAAAUUCAAGGACAAAUGGCUAGCUUGUAUUUCUCUUGGUGAACAAACUUUUCGCACUCACGUGUCCGAUCAAACUGACAAGCCAACCUGGAACUCAGAAAGGAAGCUUCUUUUGGAAAGAAACGGAGCACAUCUUGCAAGAAUAUCUGUUUUUGAGACCAACAGACUUUCGAGGAACAAUCUGAUCGGUUACUGUGAAGUAGAUCUACUUGAAUUUCUUACUCAGGAUUCCAGUUCUGAUACUGAGGUUUUUGACUUAUUAGACCCAUCAUCCGCCUCCACAAUUGUUGGCCGUAUGUCUAUUUCGUGUUGCAUUGAGGACCCCGUUGAGACAGAGAAAACCUUUGUUAAGCGCAUCUUAUCUAUAGUGGACUGUAAUGAAGACGGAGAGCUUUCAUUGACUGAGUUCUCUGAUUUGAUUGAUGCGUUUGGAAAUAAACUGGCAGCUGAGAAGAAAGAGGAGAUAUUCAAACAAGCUGACAGAAAUGGUGAUGGUGUUGUCAGCUUGGAUGAGUUAGCCACACUUCUGGCUAUGCAAAAUGAAAAGGAACCCAUAAUCAAUUGCUGUCCAGUUUGUGGCGAAGUUCUUGAAGUUUCGGAUGGGUUGAAUAACAUGAUUCAUAUGACCUUGUGUUUUGAUGAGGGGACUGGGAAUCAGGUUAUGACAGGAGGAUUCUUGACUGAUAAGGAGGCUUCAAGUGGAUGGAUGUUCAAACUGAGUGAAUGGGCCCAUUUUUCAACUUUUGAUAUCGGUUUAAGGUCUGGUUCAAGUGCAUCGCAUAUCUUGGUUUAUGACCGCCAAAAGAAAAGGCUAGUGGAGGAAAUAAUUGAUCGGAAGAUAGUCUUGUCCAUGAGAGCUAUAUAUCAGUCUAAAUUUGGCCUUGGCCUUAUGGAUAAUGGUGCAAAAGAAAUCUUGCGGAGCCUCUCUGAAAAACAGGGCAAGAAAAUGGAUUCUGCUGAAUCUGCUAAAGAAAUACCUAACUUCAUUGAAUUUUUUAAGGAUCAAAUAAAUAUGGAUGAAGUCAAGUAUCCGUUGGAGCAUUUUAAGACAUUCAACGAAUUUUUCAUUAGAGAGUUGAAGCCUGGUGCAAGACCUAUUGCUUUUGAAGAAUGUGAUGAUAUUGCUGUAUGUGCUGCUGAUUGCCGUCUGAUGGCAUUCAACAGUGUUGCUGAUAGUAUAAGAUGUUGGAUCAAGGGUCGAAAGUUUUCCAUCCAAGGUCUUCUUGGGGAUGAAACGUGUUCUAGUGAAUUUGUCAAUGGAGCUCUAGUGAUAUUUCGCUUGGCACCACAGGACUAUCAUCGUUUCCACUUUCCUGUGUCUGGAACUAUCGAGAAAUUUAUUGAAAUACCUGGUUGCCUGUAUACGGUGAAUCCUAUUGCUGUGAAUAGCAAAUACUGCAAUGUCUUCACAGAGAAUAAGAGGGUUGUGUCUAUAAUUUCCACAGAACACUUUGGGAAGAUCCAAGAGUUCACACAUGGAUUGAAGUUUUAUUCUGUCCUCUUUAAAUGUUUUGAAAGGUUGCAUUUGUUGCAAUUGGAGCAACAAUGGUUGGUAGCAUUAAUUUCUCCAGAAAUAAGGGCGACUAUGUGAAAAAAGGGGAUGAGUUUGGAUAUUUUGCUUUUGGUGGAAGUACCGUAAUUUGUGUCUUUGAAAAGGAUUCCAUAAGGGUAGAUGAGGAUCUCUUGGAAAAUAGUGGAAGAUCACUGGAGACCUUGGUAUCAGUAGGAAUGCAGUUGGGUGUCUCCGUAAAGAAGCAGGAUGACGUGAAGCUGCCCAAUUUAAGUAACCUUUCGUUUUGAGUUUGAUAUCUUCGUUAACUGUGUAGAGAUUAGUCCUAGAUGAGUGAGCGAAUUAUUCAAGCUGAUUAUUGUGCUUAGUUUGUACCUUUUAGGGCUUGUCUGCUAAAUUCUGUGUUAAUUAGUAUUUUCCUUCAUUUCCAUGAAUGGAGAUGCUAAUAACAUGAAUUCGUAUUUGCUAUCAUUCAUGUUUGUCAUUUCUUAUGAUGUAAAAUGCAUGGUAUGUUAUAUAUCAGCUUGAGUAACCACUUCAAACUGUAGAAAGAAUAAGACUCCACUAGCAAUUUGUUUUGAAAAAAUGUUACAUUCUGUACA